rfam:Dactylellina haptotyla CBS 200.50 unplaced genomic scaffold scaffold00513, whole genome shotgun sequence.
GGCCUGCUGGCCCAAUGGCAAGGCGUCUGACUACGAAUCAGGAGAUUGCAGGUUCGAUCCCUGCGUAGGUCA